UCACUUGUCUGGAGACAUAGGACAUGUGAAGAUGUUUUGUUGUUGCUUCCGGACUUCCCAAGGCUCAGGCCCUAGGAGACCUCACAGAGGAGGACUCAGUCAUAACUGGAGAAACUGGGGUGCCUGACUAAUCAGCUGCCUGUAGUCCUUCUCUCAGAGGAGUCAAAGUGGGGCACACAGUAGCCGAGGACAGUGCCAUCUCUACCAUCUUUGACAUAUGGUUUGAAAACUACGCAGACCAGUUCAAUCAGCCACCGGAGUUCGUAUGCCUCAAGCAGCUGGUGGAGUAUGUGCAUUUGCACAUGCCUGGCUCAGACUUGGAGCACUGUGUGUACCUUCUAGUGACGCAGCUGGAAGACCAGGAGACCAUGCGAGCCAUGAGUGAGGUUCCAACUGGAGAGCAAGAAUCAGCUCAGGCAGCAGCUUCCAAUCCAGAGGCCGAUCCACAACCCAUGCUGGCGUGAGAGUCAGCUUCCCUGACAGCUGCAGUGCCAUGUGUACCCUUAAAGCCCCCAAGGUCUAUUUUUCAAAAGAAGAAAAUGAGCAUAACUGUGACUGUGGAGCUGGAGCCAUCCAGAGCAGGAGCACUUGUACCAGUGGUGCCAGUCUGGACUGCACCCAUGACCAUGAAACGCAGGGUGAGUAGAUGAAAGCCUCACAGGAUGGUGGUCUCUCCUGACCUGGUUGUGGGUAUGUUGAGGGACAUGGGAAUUGGCUGUGCUCAGAAGGAAAAGAAUGCAUGGCCUCCUUUCAGGCAUCUGCCAUCAAGACCUGCUGUUCUGGUUCCUUUGUUCAAUUCUUAGCUCCAUCUUGUACACAACAGGUUCACUGUUACAUAAGACAUCCUCAAUGGCAGAGAAACAGAACCAGAAUUUCCCAUUAGGCCUUGGCCACAGUCCUGACUUCCUGAGCUUCAGGCCUGAUCCAUGGUCGCCCUCCUUGCUUGGGAUACGGUGGUCUGAGGCAAGCCCCAGUAGUACUUAAAAAAAUGUACUCUCCCCAUUGCAGGAUUCCACUUGGAUGCAGUGUGAGAAAAUACCCAAGGAGCCCCAGGCUGCCACCAUCUCCACCACUUUCAUUCAGCUCUCGAGUGUGACCCAGAGCAUUGCCAACAGUGUGCUCAGGCACUGCAUCCUGGCAACCUUGGCCUGCACCCAGGUUUUGUGGAGUACUAGAUUCCCAGGGGCCCGGGGUCAACUUCAGGAGGGGCUUGGGACCACUCUUCAUGUGUUCCAAGUUCUGAGUCCUGAGCUCCGCAUAGACUUCAGGCUCUCCUUCCCAGGGCUGCUGUGGCCUGGACUCUCAUGUUCCAGUUGUCCGUACUGGCCCUCUCCUUGGGGCUAGCUGAUAUCUUGGGCUUUCUUAGCCCUUCCUUCUCCUCCAAGGGGGAUCUAUGCGAAUCUGAGGGAUUGGGAAGGGGGCUCAUUCAGGGCCAAGAGCUCAAAAUCCCUCAUAGAGUCCUUCUUCAUUAGGAGCUCUGCAGAGUCUGGAGGAACCAUACCUCCCUCCCAGGGCUUGGAGUCAGCACCACCCAGGGCCAGGUGGAGACCUGGGAGAAGUUCUGCAGGAGGCUGCUCCUCUCCCUUAGAGCUCUUGGUGAGCCAGCACCA